rnacentral:rRNA from 1 species
ACGUUGGCGGCGUGGAUUAGGCAUGCAAGNCGUACGGGCCGCAAGGCCAGUGGCGCAAGGGUGAGUAAUGCGACGGUAACCAACCCCAUGGUUGGGUAUAGCCGCGGGAAACCGCGGGUAAUCCCCAGCGACGCAGGAGGCCGGCAUCGGUCCCCUGCCAAAGUUCCGGCGCCGUGGGACGGGCCGUCGUGGUAUUAGGUAGUUGGCGGGGUAACGGCCCACCAAGCCUGCGAUGCCUACCGGGCGUGCGAGCGUGGCCCGGCACACUGGGACUGAGACACUGCCCAGACUCCUACGGGAGGCUGCAGUCGAGAAUCUUCGGCAUUGGGCGCAAGCCUGACCGAGCGACGCCGCGUGGAGGACGAAGGCCUUCGGGUUGUAAACUCCUGUCGAGGGGGAAGAAGGGUCGCAAGACCUUGACUGAUCCCUGGAGGAAGCACGGGCUAAGUUCGUGCCAGCAGCCGCGGUAAGACGAACCGUGCGAACGUUAUUCGGAAUCACUGGGCUUAAAGCGCGUGUAGGCGGGACGGCACGUCGGUCGCUGAAAUCCCCCGGCUUAACCGGGGAACGGGCGGCGAUACGACCGUCCUGGAGGGGCGUAGGGGGACCUGGAACUUCCGGUGGAGCGGUGAAAUGCGU